AGACGAACCGGACAAACGUUAUUCGGAAUCACUGGGCUUAAAGAGUACGUAGGCGGCUUGGUAGGUUGGGUGUGAAAUCCCACAGCUCAACUGUGGAACUGCGCUCAAAACCACCAAGCUUGAGGGAGACAGGGGUGAGCGGAACUGAUGGUGGAGCGGUGAAAUGCGUUGAUAUCAUCGGGAACACCGGUGGCGAAGGCGGCUCACUGGGUCUCUUCUGACGCUGAGGUACGAAAGCUAGGGUAGCGAACGGGAUUAGAAACCCCGGUAGUCC
rnacentral:rRNA from 1 species